rnacentral:rRNA from 1 species
GAUGAACGCUGGCGGCGUGCCUAAUACAUGCAAGUCGAGCGAAUGGAUUAAGAGCUUGCUCUUAUGAAGUUAGCGGCGGACGGGUGAGUAACACGUGGGUAACCUGCCCAUAAGACCGGGAUAACUCCGGGAAACCGGGACUAAUACCGGAUAAUAUUUUGAACUGCAUGGUUCAAAAUUGAAAGGCGGCUUCGGCUGUCACUUAUGGAUGGACCCGCGCCGCAUUAGCUAGUUGGUGAGGUAACGGCUCACCAAGGCAACGAUGCGUAGCCGACCUGAGAGGGUGAUCGGCCACACUGGGACUGAGACACGGCCCAGACUCCUACGGGAGGCAGCAGUAGGGAAUCUUCCGCAAUGGACGAAAGUCUGACGGAGCAACGCCGCGUGAGUGAUGAAGGCUUUCGGGUCGUAAAACUCUGUUGUUAGGGAAGAACAAGUGCUAGUUGAAUAAGCUGGCACCUUGACGGUGCCUAACCAGAAAGCCACGGCUAACUACGUGCCAGCCGCCGCGGUAA